rnacentral:lncRNA from 1 species
GAGCGGCGAGGGCGAUGGUGCGGUAUCGGCCGAGGCAGGAGUCGGCGAGGAGGGCGCCGAGCAGCGGCAGCAUCGACGCCGCCCCCGACCACGCGUUCGCCGCCGCCGCCGCCGCGGCGUUCGUCUCCCCCAUCGGCCCCGUCAGGUACGUUAUCAGGUUCGACGCCACCCCGUAGUACGCAAACCUCUCCGCUAUCUCCAACCCUAAACUACCAUCAAUGUUCAUCAUCAUCAUCAUCAUCAUCAUCAUGCAUCAUUUCCCAUUCGAUCGAUCAUCAAUGGAUCUAGGGUUUGGGGUUUUAGGUUUACCCAUGACGAAGAGGCGGCGGGCCACCCGCCGGAGGAGCGCGGCGUAGAUCGGACGGCCGCGGUAGUCAACGAGGCCGCUCACGGCUCCGACCGAGCCUGGAGGAGGGGAUCGAGGAAUCCAUUUCCGCCCCCCCCCCCCCACCGCUUCUUCCUCGUCCUCUUCUUCGUUCUACCCCCCUCGCACCCCCCCCUCUCUCUCUCUCUCUCUCUCUCUCUCUCUCUCGCUCUCUCUCUCUUCUAUAUAUAUAUAUAUCUAUAUAAUAUUAUAUAUAUAUAUAUAUAUAUAUAUAUAUAUUAUAUAUAUAUAUAUAUAUAGAGUGUAAAGCUACUAUGGUAUUGGAAGUAUAAAUGAUUUGGUACUUCCGAUUAUUUGACUCUUGGAUUAAGAAUUAUACGAGUGGGAUGAUUGCGGUCCUCCCUAGUAUUGAAUAGUAUUCGUAGGAUUACGUGGUCCCUAUAAGGUAAUAGUAUUAAUCUAAAAAUUAGAAAUGAUUAAAGAGACAGCUCUAAAUGCAAGGAGUCAGAAGCACCAAAUUAUAUAUAUAUAAAGUUGAGCCUCUAUACUUUUAAAAAUUCUUGAGUUAUUGGUACUUCUAGAUUUUGAAUUUUUUGAUUAAGAGAUGUGUGAUUAGGAUGAUAGUGAUUUUUCAGGGUUGAGUUGGUGGCUGAUUGAAUAGGAUGAUCUAAUGGGUGAAAAUAGUCAAAAAAAAUUAGAUCUAACGAAAGAAAAUUUAUAAACAUAAGUUGUUUGUGCUUUUAAAAAUAUCAUAUCCGAACUCUCUCUCUCUCUCUCUCUCUCUAUAUAUAUAAACUAAGCUCUUAUAUUUUUGAAAAUAACAAGGCAUUGUUGUUGGUAGGUUUUCCAAAUUUCAAUCAAAAUUUGUAAUGUUAAAAUAAUAAUAGCUUUCUAAGAUUAAGGCUUCAUUUGGAAUUACGAGGAUAUUCCGUUACGUGCGGUGAGAAAAAAGUACGUUGGAAAAAUAUCCUGUUUGUUUUCGUACGUAAUAUUGCGUUAUGCAUAUCGCGAUGAGUCGGUUACGAUAUAUUUUCUGUGGUCCCACCGGAGAACGCAAAAAUAUAUUCCUAUAUAUUUUUUUCCCAGCUCUAUUUUAUCUAAUAGCGUUAAAUAGACCUCAAUACCAAACUAAGCCUAAGUUAGUGGUCCAUAGAAUAAUAUAAUCUAAAAAGUAAAUUGGUCCAAUGGAUAGAAUAAUUAUGAAAGAUUGAAGUAAAAUAAAAAGUUAAAUUACAAAAAAAUUCUGUCAAAAUUCGAUUUUUCAUUUUUUUUUUCUGUCAUUUAAAAAUCUACACUUUAUCCUCUUGUAAAAUAAAAAAUAUUCACGAGAAAUACGGUGUGAACUGUGAUGACAAAAUGAUUAUUUUGCCCCUCACUAUUUUGCCCUCACCAUGUUCACAGGAGAGAAGGCUGAGGAUAUUUUUAUAUAAAAAUAUAUAUAAUAUUAUUUAUAAACGGAACCCUAAUGAAUUACUAACGGCAAAGGUUAAAGUGAAUAUUUUUUAUUUUAUAAGGGGACAGAGUAUAUAUAUAUUUUUAAAUGAUAUAGAAAAAAAAUAAAAAAUUAAAUUUUGACAGUAAUUUGGCCAAAAUAAAAUAUUAUUUAUUAUAAUUAUUGUGAUUGUGAUGGGAAGAAACUUCAAAAACAAGAGGCUGGACUCGGGAGUGUGUGCCGAUCGACUGCCAGCCACCAUGUGGGGUUGGUGGAUAAUUUGAGCACGUUGGAGUUGAAUAGGUUUUAAUUUGAGAGCGUUGAGAUUCCCUUCUUUUUCUUAUUAAUUGUGUUCUUUUGUUAUCAUAUAUUAAUUUAUGAGAAUUCAAUUCAUUUUGAAAAGGAUUUGGAAAAAGUUUUCUUAAGAGAAAUAUCAAGUCCAUAUGUAUAUAAUACGGCUAAACCUGGUAACUUGAAUAUAAUAUUUAGGUAAUAAUUAGAUUCAAGAAGUUAAAAACGUUAAGCGCAAGUAAAGCGAUAUAAUUAGUAUUAAAGCUAAUUAACAACGAAAAGUGUACUUAAAGGAGGGAGAAUGUGACACACUAGAAUUUGGAUUAGUUCUAUAUAAAAAAUAUAAUAUUACUAAAUCUCUGAGUCCGUCUAUAGUAUUUUGGAUGGUGCCUAGAGCCAAUCACCAGCCGAAAAUAUGAGAUAUGAGAUAAGUCGUUAGGACGGAGAAAAUAUAACACUCUAGGAUUUAAAAUAGUCAUAUAUAUAAAAGAUAUAAUACCGCUAAAUAUUUUAAUCCAGUUAUAGUAUUUGAAAUAGUUCUAUACGAUAAUAUGGCUAAAUCUCUUAAUUCGGCUAUAAUAUUUUGAAUAAUCUUAUAUAUUAGAUGUAAUAGGACUAAACCUGUUUAUCCGACUAUAGUAUUUUAAAUUUUUGGACAGUAGUUAGGUUCAAGAGAUUAAUAGAAUUGAGGAUGGCUAGAAUUUAAAAUAAUUUUUAGAGGAUGGUGUUGUAGAAUUACGGCGCAUGCUUGCAUUGUAAAUUAACCUAACAUUGUUUAUUUAUAGAUAAAUAAGAUGAACAUUUGUUUGACGGUCAUGCGCUUAAAACAAGAAAGAAAAAAAUUAAUAUGCUAAAUUACAGAAAAUUUCCAUAUCAAUAUUCUUUUUUAUUUUUUUUUUUCCUUGUCAUUCAAAAAUUUGCACUUUGCUCUCUUAAAAAAUAAAAAAUAUUCAUUUUGACUCCCGUAUUUAGAGGCCGUUUGGUUGGAUGUAGUUGCAGAAACAGUGUAGUUGGAAAUACAUGUAGUUGCAAAUGCUGCAGUUAUAACUACACCUAGUCUGUUUGGUUUUACGCAGUUGCAACUGCUGCAAUUAUAUUUCUUCUGUUUGGUAAUAUGAAGCUGAUAGUUGUAUAUAUGAAUUUUGUCACCUCUUCAGAUAGAGUAGUGAGGUCACCUUCACUAAACAUAAAAUAAUUGUAUAAAUUUAUUAAUUAUUUAAAUUUACUAUUUAUAAAUAAAUAAGUAGAUAUAUAUAAUAUUUUUAUAUUUUUCAAUAAUUCUUCAACUUAUUAAUCGACACAUUUAAAAUUUUUAAUUUAUUUAAUUUUAAUAUGUAAAUCAAACUUUAAAAAUUUAAACGAUUCUCUCAUUUUUUUUUAUCAAUUUUAAUAAUUAUAAUUAAUUAAAACUUAUUAAAUUAACAUACACGAUCACAUUCUAUAAAACAUUUAGAAAAAAAAAACUAUAUUUAUAUUUUAAAUAAAAUAAAUUUAAAAAAAUUAAUUUUUUGCACAAAGCUUGUAUUGUCUAAAAAAUUUUAUUAGUAUGAGUUUAUUUAUAAGUAUUUUUAUUUCCUAUAUACAUAUAUUAUUUAUUUAUUUAGCUAUUUAUUUAUUUAUUUAUUAUUAUUAAUUUGUGGGUGAUCAUAUCCCUCACUAACUGCUACAGUUUAGAACUACGACCAAUUUGGAUGUAGUUCCAACUGCAGCAUUUGGGCCUUCUUGUACAGUUGGAACUGCAGCAGUUGAACUCAACUCACUAACCAAACAAAUGAAUUGUGGCUGCACGCAUUUGCAACUGCACUGCAGUUGUAAGUGCAGUUGCAAAUACGUACAACCAAACAGCCCCUUAGGGGGCGUUUGGAUUGAUGAAUUUGUAGAUUCAACGUAAGUCAAGUGUAGUGGUGUUUGAUUUUCCUGAAGUGUGAUUAUUUUUCUGUUGUUUGUUUUGACGUAACUCGUACCACUGAAAGUUAAAUUCAAUCACUUCUGCUGUUUGUUUUGAUGUAACUUGGUGCUGGUAAAAUUAGUUUUUUGAGUUCCGUUGUUUGUUUUGAUGUAAGUAAGUGGAUCCCAUUAUCUCCUAAAUAUAGUAAUAAAUUUAUCACUAUAAAAUUUAACCUAUUAUAUAAUUAAAUUUUUUAUUAUUAUUUAAAGAUAAUCUUAAUUUAUUAUAAAUAAAGUAAUUCUAACCCAUUAUAAAGAAAAUAGAGUUUAGGUUUUACUGUUUAAUAAAUUGUUUAGAGAAAGUUGAGUGUGGUGGAAGUCGAGUUCGGUACUUUAGAGCCGGAAGUCGAGAGUAGGAGAAGUGGAGCUCUAACGUAACUUGAGUUACAUUAUAUUUUUCAGUUAUACCAAAACAAAUAACGAACGUGAUGGAACUUGAGUUCCAUCACUCUACUUACACCAAAACAAACGGGCCCUUAGUGUUUCGUUAGGAUUUCAUUUAUAUCAUGUUUCUUAUACUCAAAAUAUUUCUGAAACUCUCCUCCUCCUUUAUCCAUGGCCGCGGCGCCUCACCCUCCGCCGUGCCGCCUCGUCCUCCGCCGCCUCGCUCUUGCCCACCUAUCUGGCCAUACCCACACACACACCCUUGCCCGUCUUUGCCGCCUCACCCUCGCCCUCGCCCUCACCUUCGCCCUCGCCCUCGUCCAUCUCUCCGUCCAAAAAAAUGAGAAGUAAUUUGAUUAUUUUAUUACAACCUAUUUUUUCUAUGAAUAAAUUUUUUUAAAAAAAUAAAAUAUAAAUUUUUGAAUAAUAUAAAAAAUAAAAAAAUAGAUAUUAUUAAAUAUUUUUUUGUAAUUUACCCAUAUUUAUAUUUAUAUUGUGACACAAUAUAUGAAGGCGGGAGGUAUGGAUGGAACUGGGGGUAGCAGUGGUUUUGAGGUGGUACCGACGGUAUUCGCUUUUGCUCUCUGUCCUGCUCGUACUAUCUGCAUUUUAAAACUGAACUCUGCUGCGUGUGGGAAAGAUAAUCAGAUGGUAUUAUCAACAUUAAUUACUUAAUUAAUUAACUUAUUAAUUAUUAAUAUUUUGAGAUAGUACUUGAUCAUUGGAGAUUCGUUUUGAGUCUUUAUUUUACAGACUUUCGAUUGGAUAGUGACGCCUGGUACGCCGAUAACACGACAAAGUGACACUGAUUUCAGGUUUAGGUGUACCGAGACGGAAUUUAGGAUGAUGAUGAGUGCGUGUAAUCGAAAUUUUACUAAAUAAAUAUAAUUUACAAAAUAAAAUCCGACACAUUCGGCUUGGUACAUAAAUUUUAGAAUUAAUUUCAUACGUAUCUUUGUAAAUAUAGUAAAUCAUAAAUAUAUUUCUAUAAAAUUUAAUUUAUAUAUAUAUAUAUAUAUUGUCUCUGUAAAAGUCCUGAUGUUUUCAAAUAUGUUCUUACUGUUAAAAUUCGUUAGAAAGUUUUAGUUAAUCAUAGGUUAAAUACUUAAUCUUGAUUAGUUUUUUAUAUUUUUAUCCUUCUUAUAUUAUACUGUUAUGACUUUUAGAGAGACAUAUUUAUAGUGGUAAAAUUGAAAAAAUAAAUGAUUUUCUAAUAGCUCUCUAAGAGUAACAAACCAAAAGGACAUGUUUCAAAAUAUCAGAACUUUUGUAGGAAUAAUAUAUGAAAGUUGAACUUUGUAGGGAUAUAUUUGCUAUUCACUAUAUUUGCACGGAUUUGCAUGAAAUUAAUCCUAAAUUUUAUCUCUACCUGAUUCAAAAUUGAAUAGAUUUUAUAUAAUAUAUUUAAAUGCUUAAUAUCAUAUUUAAGUUAAUAUUUAAAAAAAUUAAAUUUUAAUACAAUAUGUUUAGAAAUAGAGUAAAUAAAAAAAUAAUUAUUUCGAGUUCGGAAUUAGGAUCGGGUUUUGGAUUUUUUUAUUGAAUUCGAUUUUAGAUGUGAAUUUUUAAAGCGCGUCAGGUUCGGAUGCGAAUUCGGGUUUGAAUUAACAUUUUGAUUUGGAUUUUGAUUGUCGAAUUCGAAUUUAAAUUUUUUAAAAAUUCGUUUCGAAUCUGACGAGUUGACAUCCCUACUUAGCGACUUUGUCCUGGCCUAGACACAACCUGAACUCCCUUAUUUAUAAAGCAUCUGGGGAGGAGAAAGAUUUUUAAAAUUUUGUAAAAAAAUUAGAGAUUAUACGAAUUUAUCACAUAAUUUAAAUUUAAAUUUAAACUUAUAACUUAUCUAAGAUCUAAUAUUAUUAAUUUUAAUUUAAAUAAUUAUUACUAGUGAAAAAAGGUCCUUUUUUUUAACUCUUUCCCGAAUCAAAGUUGAUUUGAUAUUAUUUUCAGAGUAUUCGAUUUUUCAUGGAAUUGAAAAUCUGAGUGCUUAUCUAUUAAAUCAACCACCAACAAUAAAAAUGAAUCAUUUUCAUUUUUAUUCCAAAUCUCAAAUGUUUCAACCAAAUAUGCCCUUGUAUAAAAUAAAUCUUUAAAUUACUAAGUUCAUAAAAUAUAGGUGUUAGAAACAAUAUUUGCGUUUGCUAAAAGCUAGUAAAAUUAUAUAAUAAUUACCAUUAAGUUUAAUAAAAAUUUCACUUUCUCUUAUUUUCUCUCUCUAUACAAGAAAUUAAAGGGUAAAUUGCAAUUCUGGUCCGCAAUUUGUUUGAUGCGUAACGCUUUCCUCAUCAAACCUUAAUUUAUUACAUAAUUUAUGUCUCAAAUUUUUUGAAUUAUUACGAUUAAGUCCGAGGACCUAAUUGAGUAACUAAAAAUAAUAUAACAUCUUAAUAAUUAUUGCAUUAUCUAUUCUAUUUACUAUAUACUAAAGUAGAAUCCUUGGUAUAAAACUGACACGUGUCUUUUUAUAUGCUUGCUACGUGUCAAACUCAAAUAUAGAAUAAUAAUUAUAUAUUAGGAAACAUUAUUAAAUCAAAUUAAAUCAAAUUAUACCAAUUAAAUAUAAUUAUAUAUAAAAUUAACUAGAAUUUUAUUAGAAAAUACUAUUAAACACUAUUAUUAUAAUUAUACUCAAAUAUAGAAUAACAAUUUUAUUAGGAAACACUAUUAAAUCAAAUUAAAUUAAAUUAUACCAAUUAACAAAUAAUACCAAUUAAAUAUAAUUAUAUAUACAAUUAAUAAGAAUUAUAUUAGGAAACAUUAUUAUAUCAAAUUAAAUCAAAUUACGAUUUUAUUAAAAAACACUAUUAAAUAUAAUUAAAUCAAAUUAAUUUGAUAUGUCAUUAUUUUACAUGUCAGUUUCAUUAAAUCAAAGUCAGCGUUUCAUUAUAANAAAUUAAAUCAAAUUAUACCAAUUAAGUAUAAUUAUAUAUACAAUUAACUAGAAUUUUAUUAGAAAACACUAUUCAACACUAUUAAAUCAAAUUAAAUCAAAUUAUACCAAUUAAGUAUAAUUAUAUAUACAAUUAACUAGAAUUUUAUUAAGAAACACUAUUAAACACUAUUAUUAUAAUUAUAUAUACAAUUAACUAGAAUCUAUUUACUAUAUACUAAAAUAUAACCCUAAUAUAAUUCUAGUUCAUUACAAUACUACUAUAUUAUUUUUUAUAUCAACAAUUCAUCAAUAUUGUUAACUAAAUUGGGCUGUGAGAUUUAAUUAUAAUAAUAAUUCAAAAACUUUAAAUAAUAAAUUUUAAUAAAUUUGAAUUUGACUACCAAAAUAUCAUCUAUGGUGGGGUUGCUGAUAUUGUGUUGGUGGCUAUAUCUAUGUGGCGUUGUUGACAAGUCGAACUCAUUUAAAAAUAUAUAUUUAAAAAUUUGAAAUGGAUAAAAAUGUGUGAAGAUCCCUUCAACUACAUAUAAGAUAUUUUGAAAUUAUUUUAAAUUUUUAUUUUCGAUCCACACCUCUAAAAUUUCUAAAUUUUUUAUUUAGUUAUUCAGCUAAUUAAGUUAAAAAAAAUUAUCAAAGUAAUUUUGUUAGCUAUUAGCAGUUAAUUAUUUUUAAGGUAAACUUCAAAUACCAUCAAUGUGGUUUCGUACUUUCUCAUUUUAGUACCCGGUGUCUUAAAGUGUAUCAAUUUAGUAUCUCGUGGUUUCAUUUUUUUCUUUUCGUCAGUCCCUCUUCUAAUUUUUCGUUAAAUCAUGUACAAAAAACUUCAGAUAUCCCACCUAUAGUUUAUCAAUUAUUCACUUUACUGCCUUUUAGUUCUAAUUUUUUCACUGAUUUAAUGAAAAAAAUAGUAAAAGUAGAUAACAAAAAGAGAAAAUAAAAUCACAAGGUAUGGAAAUGACACAUCUUAAAUCACAUAAUAUUAAAGUGAGAAAAUGUGAAACUAUGGAGAUGAUAUUUAAAGUUUUUUUUUAUAAAUAAAUAAUGCUAUUAAAUGUUACGAAUAAAAAUAUAUUAAAUUAGGGGAAACUUCAAAUAACCUCUUAUGGUUUCGCACUUUUUCACUUUACUACCUUAUGGUUUAAAGUGUAUCAAGCUAGUACCCUGUGGUUUCACACUUUCUCACUUUACUACCCUGUGGUUUAAUAUUUCGUUAAAUUAUAUACCCCGAAAUGGGUGUUAAAAAGAGAAAACUGAAACCACAAGGUACUAACUUGAUACACUUGAAAUCACAUAGUACUAAACUGAAAAAGUAUGAAACCACAAGAUACUAACUUGAUAUACUUUAAAUUAUAUGGCACUAAAGUGAAAAAAUACGAAACCACGAAUUAUGCCACGUGGCACGUGAUUGAAGGGUCUCAGAGAGAGAGAGAGAGAGAGUCCACAAAGAUAAGCUCUAGUACGGCUUUGGGUUUAUCCAAUGAGGGUGCUUCAAAUGGUGGGGACAGUUUCAUCACAUCAACAACAUGGUGAUGUGAUGUUUUAAAAUAAUUUUAAAAACGUGAGAUCUUAUUUGGAUCAUUAUCUAUAAAAAUUGUUUUCUCUAAUUAGAUAAAAAAAUAAUUUUAUUUUAUUUGUUUCUCAACCUCUGUUUGAUUUUUUUCUUAUUCUCUUUCAUUUAAUAAAAUAGUUGAUGAUUUAAUAAUAAUGAAAGUAUUAAAUUACUAUCAUUUUAUCGACAAAUUAGUAUUUAAUAAAUUAAAAUAAAUUAUUAGACAUAUUAAAAUUUGAGAACUAAAAUUUGUUUAUCGUAUAGUUUGAGCACCGGAGGCGUAAGGCUAAAUUGCACUUUUGAUCUUCGAACAAUGGGUCGCAUACCAAUUUGGUUAUCAAACUUUAAUUAUUUAUUAUAAUUUUUAAUAUAAAUUUUUUAGAUUAUUAUAAUUAAAUUUUAUAGUGCGAUUUAGCUGUCUAAAUGAUAACGUGUUGUUAAUGUGACAGUAAUAUAUAAUAUUAUCAUAGUUGAUGACGAGAGAAUAUGAUUGAUAGCAUGUGAAUAUUUAAGUAAGUUGCCGCAUUACUACUAUUUCAGCGAUACAUUUUCAACAAUGCAAAUAGUUCGAGCCAAAAGCCGCAAUAAAUUAAAGUUUAAGGAGCAAAGUAUUAUGCACCUCACAGUUUGAGGACCAAAAUGCAAUUUAGCCAAAGCGAAAAAAAAAAAAAGAAAAAAGAAAAGAAGAUAAAUAUAGAUGAGUUCUCCUAAUCUCUUGCCUCCUAAUCUUUUAUCUUUUCAAUUUCUAUUGUUUUUUUUAAGACUAAAUUACAUUUUAGUCCUCAAACUAAGAGAGGCCUGACACUUUACUACUCCAACAUUUAUUUAUUAUUAUAACUUUUCGCUCAAACUUUAUAAAUUAUUAUUACAAUAAUUUUACAAUUUAAUUUAAUCGACUAAAUAUGUGACGUGCCACUGAUGUGGAAGUCACAUAGUAUUUUAAUUAUCAUUGCAUCGCAUCAUCACUUCUACAUUAGUAAUUGAUAGAUAUUUAAUCAAUUAAAUUAGAUUGUAAAAUUUAAUUAUAAUAAUUCAAAAUUUUUAAGAAAAAAUUUUAAAUACCAACCAUGUGGUUCCGCUUUUUUUAUUUUAAUAUCUUGCGGUUUAAAAUGUAUCAAUUUAGUACACUAUAAUUUUAUUUUUCUCUUUUUAUUAUCCCCCUACUAAUUUUUUUUCGUUAAAUUAAUAACAAAGUUAAAACGAAAAGAUACUAAAGUGAAUAUUCGAUAAAUCUAUGUGAGAUAUCUGAAGUAUUUUCUAUAUAAUUUAAUGAAAUGUUAACGAAGGAGCUGACGAAAAGAGAAAAAAUAAAAACAUAGUGUACUAAAUUGACACAUUUUAAACCACAUGGUACUAAAGUGAGAAAGUACGAAACUACGGGAAUGAUAUUUGAAGUUUAUCCAAAUUUUAAAAUAAAAGUUAUAAUAAAUUAAAAUAUUAGAAUCAAAGUGUGACAUAUAGCUCAUAAUUUGAGAAUCAAAUGCAUAAUUUAGCUUAUGAUUAAUGUAAGAAGCUACACAAGUGAUCUAACUCACCAACUCGAAGGUAAGAACAGGUAAAGAUCAGUGUGUUGGAUUGUCGUGUCAAACUCUCUUUGAUAUAGUCGCAUACUUAAUUACAUGUAUAUGCGUACAGAGGGAGACACACAUAUACAAGAGUUUGGUAAACGUUUUUGUCUUAUUAUUAUUACUCACUGUAUUCUCGUCGACUUGGUCUCCUUCGUGGUUAUUUUAUUUGAUUUUAUUUUAUUAUUUUUUAGUAAAAAUAAAUUUUUUUUUGAGAAUUAAAGUUUUCGUAAAUAUCUAAUUUUGUCGAAUAAUAACUCAAUUUAAGAUAUUAGUAAUUUAAGUACGCAGAUAAAAAGUGCUAAAAAGUGAUUUAAUCCUUGCAGUACACAAUGUUGGCGGGGACGUAUGGUCCCACGCCACGAGACUAUCUUAUCUACCGUCCAUCGUCUAAACACUGCAAAUCUUAAAAUAGCAUGAGCGACGGAGACUACGAUCUGACGCCGCGGGGAAGAGG